UUGCAGGUGUGUGGCUGCAUUUCUUGAAACAAAGAAGAAAGCAUUACAGUGAAGUACCCCUCCCAACUCCCACCACCAACAAUGCACAGAGACACUGACUUUUACACCAAGGAAGACCUAAUCAACACAUUUUGUGAAUGACAGAGGAUGAUAAGGAGAGAGAGAGGCCUGGCUCCAAGGCUACAGUACCACUUGAAAAAACCCCUUGGGAUUUCUGGUUUCAAAUGAAAUGACCAAAUUAAGGUGUGUGCAUGUGAUAAGUUUAUGAAGAUAGGAUUUUGGCUGACAAAACAGCACAUGGACAACAUGGUGGCCCCAAGGAAACCCAUUGGCA